GCCGAGAUAGCUCAGCUGGUAGAGCAAUUGAUUCGUAAUCAAUAGGUCGUGGGUUCGAGUCCCAUUCUCGGCUCCA
rnacentral:tRNA from 1 species